GGUCGAAUGGUGUAGUGGCUAUCACGUUCGCCUCACAUGCGAAUGCGCAGUGUCCGCGAAAGGUCUCGGGUUCGAACCCCGGUUCGACCU
rfam:Fusarium poae strain 2516 chromosome FPOA_4 Chr4, whole genome shotgun sequence.